rnacentral:lncRNA from 1 species
CAAGCAGAGAAUUAACCUUUGCGUGCACAUAUUUGGCCCAGAUGAAAACCGGGCGGGAUGGCAGCCCCGGGGCCAGGGAUGCGGGAGCCGCCGGGAAGACCCGCGCGCCGCUCGACUCAGAGGGACUCACACCUUCCCCCGACAAAGGUCAUUAAGUUAGGCGGCCCCACUGUCGACCAAGUGCCCAAGGCAUUGUGGGAGUCAUGAUUCCAAGAUGCCCGCGACGGAAAAUGGAACUUGUCAGCUCCUUGUCAUGGGAGCAUUGUGGGCGCCACAACUCAUUCAGCUGCAGUGAAAAGACUGUUGCAUGUCGCUGUGCAGCCUCUUAUCGCCGAGGUCUGGCUUCCGCUGCUGCUGCGCGGCCCCUCCCCCGCCCGCCCAGCCCCACCAGGAAGCCCAGGGCGGACUCGUCGAGCUCCUAAUGCACGCGGCGGCGAGAAAAACGCUCUUCAACUUUCCGCCGGCGCCCUCCCGCGCUUCCCCGGGCCACAGGGUCGCCUGUCAACCGGACAGAGCCCGCAAGAGCGGGUCAUGGGCGGUCGCCCAGCGGCGCCGAGAGCAGGAGGAAGCCGGAGCCCGCGCGGGCGCCGUGGAUCCCCUCGGCCUCCCGUUGGUAUCUUCCAUCUCAUGCGUUCAGCAUUGUAACCUCGCGGCGGGCGUGCAGACCGGACGCCCUCCCGCUUCUUCUACCGACUGCUAGGCACACCAGUGGGUUCAUUUUGAAAGAGGCCCUUGCACCGGGCUUUGCAAGGAAGCCGGCAAGGUUAGAUUGAAGGUUAGAAGCCAAUUAGACUAGAAUCCUGCGAUCUGGUGAGACUGCCGCCUUAAAAUGCACCAAACAGUUUUUGAACCUGGAGGGCUAACAGGCGGGAAAAACAUCUGCAAGACUGCCACCGUGUAUUUUUCUCAAGUAACAGGCUAUCCACAGUUUUGGAAUUCCUUAGUGAAACUGUCACACAGGCACAAACACAUGUCAGCUUUCCUUCUAGUUUGUAAAUAAUAUUUGUAAUUUACAGGCCACUGUAUUCCCAACUUUGCACCAUGUGAUUUAGAGAAAGCAAAGCUCCCUCUUUAAAAAUAAUAUGUUACUUCUGAAAUACCGGGAUAUUCCACGGCAAGUAAGCCAUAUUGUCGCCAGAGCAAAUAAACCGCAGCCCCAUAUCAUAAUUCACUGGGUGCUAUAAGAUGUAACUUGGCUUUGCUUUGAAUGGAAAGAAUCCUGAACGUCUGUGAUGUGAUGAAGUUUUGGAGACUGGGGGCAGGAUUUCCUUUGAAUGUAAGGAAUUCGGAUAACUUGUUCAAGGAUGAUUCUAGUGAAAAACGUUUGUCCCAUGUUUGUUGGGACAAAAAUGCUGGAUAUGGUACAACAUUCUUCCUGCAGGUUCGGUUUUGUUGAAGAGAGUGAGGCCAGCUCGAGGUGAAGGAAAAACAUCAGAAAGGUGCUAAAGUGCAGAAAUAUCUUCCAGAGGCACUAAUAGCCGACUUUAGUUCUUGACCUUUAGCUAGAUCCACAAAGCACUGAGUUAAAAUUGUACACUGAUCCCUUCCAGAACAAAUUAAUUAAUUAAAUGGUGCCUCUUCCCAGCGUUAAUCGUUUAAAAGGACUCAAGUACCCACACAGUUUAAGCAAACUAAAAGAACACUGACACUUUCUCAGAGAACAGGGAUGGGAACUUUCUAUCUGCCCAUUAGUAUCUACCCCAAGCUACGAAGACUUCCAUUCCUCUUAUUAAGCAUUCAGCAACUACAUUUAGUGCCUACUAUGCCAGUGAUGCAAGAAUGGAUAAGACAGUCCCUACACUCAAGGAUAACGCCUCUAGUAGGGACAGUCUUGCGAUAUGGCCGAGGCUGGAGUGCCGUGGUGCGAUCAUAGCUCACUAAAACCUGGAACUCCUGCACUCGAGGGACUCCUGGGAACUCUGAGCAAUGCUCUCACCUCAGCCUCCUGAGCGGCUAAGACUACAGGUGACUGCCACCACACUUGUCUAAUUUUAGAAUAUUUUUGUAGAGAUAGGAUCUUGCUAUGUUGCCUAGUUUAGUCUUG